UACGGGGGGGGCAAGCGUUGUUCGGAAUUACUGGGCGUAAAGGGCUCGUAGGUGGCCAACUAAGUCAGACGUGAAAUCCCUCAGCUUAACUGGGGAACUGCGUCUGAUACUGGAUGGCUUGAGUUUGGGAGAGGGAUGCGGAAUUCCAGGUGUAGCGGUGAAAUGCGUAGAUAUCUGGAGGAACACCGGUGGCGAAGGCGGCAUCCUGGACCAACACUGAAACUGAGGAGCGAAAGCCAGGGGAGCAAACGGG
rnacentral:rRNA from 1 species